AUAAAUAAAAUAAUAAUCUGAUGCGAUUGGAAGUUUUGUUGUUGGAAUGUGGGACUACGCACAUGUUUUGUGGUGAUUGCAUAUACGAUAGUUGCUGAUUUUACAUAGGGGGAGAAGAAAAAGAGUUAAGAAAGAAUGGCGUAUCACUUCACAGACGUUUGGAAAAUUCAAAAUGUAAUUUUUCUUGCUGCCAAGCUGCUCGAUCAUGAUUCAGCUGCUUUUGCAAAUUUCGCAAUUCUUCCAGUUGAUGUUCUGGUCUAUACAGAUUUCUCUUGUCGCGAACUUCCUUCUCUUUAGAUAACUUGGACAUUUUGUAAUCCGAUUCAGCCAAUUGCACUUUAGCACUGGAAAAGAAAUUGUAAUCAAUAAGGACCCAUUCUUACUCAAAUAAAACAAGAAUCUAAAUU